CAGCACCUCAAGUGGUCAGGAUGAUUAUUGGGCCUAAAGCAUCCGUAGCCGGCGCUGUAAGUUUUCGGUUAAAUCUGUACGCUCAACGUACAGGCUGCCGGGAAUACUGCAGCGCUAGGGAGUGGGAGAGGUAGACGGUACUCGGUAGGAAGCGGUAAAAUCCUUUGAUCUAUUGAUGACCACCUGUGGCGAAGGCGGUCUACCAGAACACGUCCGACGGUGAGGGAUGAAAGCUGGGGGAGCAAACCGGAUUAGAUACCCGAGUAGUCC
rnacentral:rRNA from 1 species